rnacentral:rRNA from 1 species
AAGGAUUAACGAAAUUCUCACUUUAUUAACUUUAUCAUUAAAAUCUGAAUUUCAGGUGAAGAUGCCUGAAUAAAUUUGAAAGACAAGAAGACCCUAUAGAGUUUUAGUGACUUCUCUAUCUAUAAAUACAUCACUUUAAUUGGGGCGAUUAAGGAUUUAUCUCUACAUCCUUAUAUUUAAACGAUUAUAAUUUCUUAUUAAAAAUCCUUUUACUUGAAUUUUAAAACAACUACCUUAGGGAUAACAGGCUUAUCUUCCUAACAAGUCCAAAUUAACAGGAAGGUUUGGCACCUCGAUGUUGGCUUAGAGUAACCUAAUAAAGCAAAAAUUA